rnacentral:rRNA from 1 species
UCGAACGGAAACGAUGCUAGCUUGCUAGCAGGCGUCGAGUGGCGGACGGGUGAGUAAUGUAUAGGGAUCUGCCUGAUAGUGGGGGACAACGUGUGGAAACGCACGCUAAUACCGCAUACGCUCUACGGAGGAAAGCGGGGGCUCUUCGGACCUCGUGCUAUCAGAUGAACCUAUAUCAGAUUAGCUAGUUGGUGAGGUAAUGGCUCACCAAGGCGACGAUCUGUAGCUGGUUUGAGAGAAUGAUCAGCCACACUGGGACUGAGACACGGCCCAGACUCCUACGGGAGGCAGCAGUGGGGAAUAUUGCACAAUGGAGGAAACUCUGAUGCAGCAAUGCCGCGUGUGUGAAGAAGGCCUUAGGGUUGUAAAGCACUUUCAAUAGGGAGGAAAAGUAUAAGUUUAAUACACUUAUGCCGUGACGUUACCUAUAGAAGGAGGACCGGCUAACUCCGUGCCAGCAGCCGCGGUAAUACGGAGGGUCCGAGCGUUAAUCGGAAUUACUGGGCGUAAAGCGCGCGUAGGCGGAUAGAUAAGUCAGAUGUGAAAUCCCUGGGCUCAACCUAGGAACUGCAUUUGAAACUGUCUAUCUAGAGUAUGGUAGAGGUGAGUGGAAUUUCAGGUGUAGCGGUGAAAUGCGUAGAGAUCUGAAGGAACAUCAGUGGCGAAGGCGACUCACUGGGCCAUUACUGACGCUGAGGUGCGAAAGCGUGGGUAGCAAACAGGAUUAGA